rfam:Arabidopsis thaliana chromosome 3, complete sequence.
GAAUAAGCAUUGUCGGCACUUGAGAAUGUAAAGUGAUGAUCAGCUAUCGUAUUUCAUGUCGUAAUAGUAGUCACGUUAGGGUGAUAUAACGAGGCGAGAGUUAUAUCAUCAUAGUGCGAUUUCUAUUAUGACAUAAAAUACGUUUUGGAUUUUAAAACACUUGACCUUCUUAAGUGCUGAUAAUGCUUCUUUC